GACGAACGCUGGCGGCGUGCCUAAUACAUGCAAGUAGAACGCACAGUUUAUACCGUAGCUUGCUACACCAUAAACUGUGAGUUGCGAACGGGUGAGUAACGCGUAGGUAACCUGCCUGGUAGCGGGGGAUAACUAUUGGAAACGAUAGCUAAUACCGCAUAAUAUUAAUUAUUGCAUGAUAAUUGAUUGAAAGAUGCAAUUGCAUCACUACCAGAUGGCCCUGCGUUGUAUUAGCUAGUAGGUGAGGUAACGGCUCACCUAGGCGACGAUACAUAGCCGACCUGAGAGGGUGAUCGGCCACACUGGGACUGAGACACGGCCCAGACUCCUACGGGAGGCAGCAGUAGGGAAUCUUCGGCAAUGGACGAAAGUCUGACCGAGCAACGCCGCGUGAGUGAAGAAGGUUUUCGGAUCGUAAAGCUCUGUUGUAAGAGAAGAACGGGUGUGAGAGUGGAAAGUUCACACUGUGACGGUAUCUUACCAGAAAGGGACGGCUAACUACGUG
rnacentral:rRNA from 1 species